GAGAUAACAUGGAGGAGGGGGGGAACCUAGGAGAUAACAUGGAGGAGGGGGGGGAACCUAGGAGAUAACAUGGAGGAGGGGGGAACCUAGGAGAUAACAUGGAGGAGGGGGGAACCUAGGAGAUAACAUGGAGAGGGAUGGGGGGAUAAAGUGCAUAUGUCAUACACAUUUUUGGCAAAGCUUUCAUGUACAGUACAAAUGUUUGUGUAUGCGAGGGAGAGAGAGUGUGUGUGUGUGUGUGUGUGUGUGUGUGUGUGUGUGUGUGUGUGUGUGUGUGUGUGCGUGAGCGUGUGCGCGUGCGCGUGCGCGUGCGUGUGUGUGUUUUAGGGGGGUAACUCUUUGAAGGACUCGUUCUGUUUUAUUAAAGGGGAGGUUUCAGAUACCUGUUAUCACCAUUCUAAAGACUACUUCCUGUCAAUAUAUUAAAGGGGAGGUUUCAGAGACCUACAUCCUGUCAAUAUAUUAAAGGGGAGGUUUCAGAGACCUGUUAUCACCAUUCUAAAGACUACUUCCUGUCAAUAUAUUAAAGGGGAGGUUUCAGAGACCUACAUCCUGUCAAUAUAUUAAAGGGGAGGUUUCAGAGACCUGUUAUCAUCAUUCUAAAGACUACAUCCUGUCAAUAUAUUAAAGGGGAGGUUUCAGAGACCUACAUCCUGUCAAUAUAUUAAAGGGGAGGUUUCAGAGACCUGUUAUCAUCAUUCUAAAGACUACAUCCUGUCAAUAUAUUAAAGGGGAGGUUUCAGAGACCUGUUAUCAUCAU
rnacentral:lncRNA from 1 species